rnacentral:rRNA from 1 species
CACAACUCUCGACAACAGAUAUCUCAACCCUCACCAUGAUGAAGAAUGUAGCAAAAUGUGAUAUGUAGUGUGAAUUAUAGAAUCUCGGUGAGUCAUCCAGUCUUUGAAUGUAAAUUGCACCCGAGGCUUCAAAUAAGGUCACAUCUGCUUAGGUGUCACAC